AACGCUAACGAUUCUGUUCGUAAGCCCAGAUGCAGUCCGGAUCAUACUUGUCGGAGAUUGACGUACCUGAUCGGCGAAUAUGUUAUUACCACUAUGGGGUUGUGAUGGACUCAAUGGUACCAAGGCGUUUUGUAACUCCUUUGCAGCAUCGAAAAGAAUUAGCAGUAAAAGCCGAACAUAUCGGACAUCCGCACGACUAGUGAGCUCAUUUAAAAAUUUUUUUGUCACUUCAAUUAGUUUACGAAACGAGCUGAUACAAGACAAUGAAGCGUUUACUAUGGAAUUAAUGUUUGCAGUUCCAUCAUUGCUUUGUUGGGUAUCCUCAAAGCACAGAAUUAGCCGCUUAAUUUGAACAUUGGCAGUAUGUAACACAUGACGCAUAGAAUCUAAAACAACGGGGUUGCUGCAAAAAAGAAGUUGCUGACGAAGGGCUUGUU